rnacentral:misc_RNA from 1 species
UGUACCAUAUGACCAGCAACAGCCUGCAUCAAAUUUCGUAAGAAAUCAGGUGGAGGAGCUGUGCUCCAAUAUGCAUUAGUGCUACCAUCCAUUCUCCCUAUAAAUUAUAAAAUAAUAAACGAAUAUAAAUGACAGUUGAGCUUGAGUCAUAGUAUUGAAACUAUUAGUAAGCCCUACUGCCAUUAUUAUUGUUGUUGUUGCUAUUAUUAUUAUUUUCACCAGUUUGAGGCUGUUCACUUCCAGGUGGAACAUCUAUGUUACCUUCAGGGCUAACUUCCAUUAAUACUUCAACAUUGUUUGAUGCAGAAAGAUUUGCGGAAUUAGAGGGGCUCUCGAGUCGAUCCAUAAGACGAUUUGCGCGUUCAAGCAUGUGUCUUGCAGCAAUUAAUCGACCAUUAGAUAAGCUGUUGCUGAAUUGAG